AAGAUUUUAAGGACAAAAGGGAGAAAAUACAAAGAAAAAGGGACAGGAAGAUGUGUAAAAGGGACAGAAGAGAAAAAGGGAGAGAGAUGAUGUGAAAAAGGGGCAGGAAGAGAGGGACAACAGCGCCACAACAUAGAGGACAGCUUCUACUGGCUUGCUGCUACCCACCUCUGCCACCUGAGCUGUGUAAAGUAUGUGUUGGAGGAAACAUGAGAGAGUGUUAGGAGAGCGGCUCCGACCCCCAACGCAUGUGGCCAGGCAUCCAGGCCAUCAUGACCAUAAGGCAACCAACUCUACCCCCCGAAACAGUGACGCCUCCUUCCCUGACGAGCUGAGCAGCUUUUACGCUCGCGUCGACAGGGACAAUGAGGACGUGGCCUGUACAUCUCCUUGAAUGACAUGUUGCAGUAAAGUACAUUUACACCAUUUAAAGCCCUCAAAGACUCUCACACUAAACUUACCAGGUAUGAUGAUAAAUACAAAAGAGCAGUAUGAUGUAAAGACACACUGUAGAUUGCUGGUGUGAUGAUGGUGUGAUAUUUGAGCCUCUUCUCCUCUGUCUCCUCUCACAGGGAGGAGAUGAUCUGCAGGAUCCUGGUGAUCUUCAUCCUGACCUCCUGUGUCUGUGCAGGGUCAUUUGUAGUCAAUGUGACACAGAGCUGGUAUCAUGCAGAGGAGAACCACAACGUCUCACUGGAAUGGAUGUUCCCCACCAGCACGGACCACUCCACCAACUCCCUUUAUGUCUCAUGCGAGAUGUUAGUUGAUAUGAUACCAUUACUCAUGUUUCAUCUACAUAAAGGUGUUGAGUUCCCAGAGUUGCAGGACAAACGCUUUGCAGGACGAGUCCAGUGGGACAAAGACGUCCUCGGAGAAGGACAACUCAGACUUCACAUCUCCAGACUCCAGACUAAUGACUCGGGGCUGUACUGGUGUGAAGUGGACACAAGUUAUGGGAGGAACUUUAAGGAAUGUCACCUCAACGUCACCGGUAGGUUCAUUAAGUUAAAUUUACUAACACGUUCAGCAACUUCAUUCAGAUACAUUUUUUUUUUCUUUACAUGAAUAAAAAAUAUUUCUCUGGUCUCUUUGCAGCAGUGAAGGAUCGGCCUGAGACAACAAGUGAUACGAGUCUGAGAAGAAGUCCUCAGGGAAUGAUCGGCCUCUACUCUGCACUGGGACUGACCGCUGUACUGGGUUUUUAUUUAUUUUAUCUCUGCAUGGCAAAAAAUAUUAGAGAUCAACACAACAAACGAACCACAUCUGUAUCUUGGACAUCUUGGAUCUUGUAAAGUGGACGUUACAAUUUAAUUGUGUUGUUGUGCAACUGGUCAGACCGGCCGUCUGAGGAACUAGCUUUUUCCCAGAGCUGUUACAUUACAUUACAGGUCACCCUUUUGAACUCUUUCCCCCCCCUCUGGUCCCCAUUACACUACUCUAUCUGCACUGAAGACACUUUAUACCAUUUGUUUACUCUCAAUUCAAUAUGCACUUAAUAUUUGCACUAGUUUAGCAACCCCUGAUGGUUUCUGUUUAUAUCUCCACAUUUAAUGUGAAUCUGUCUGUUUUGCCUAAUUUAUUACCAAAUAGUACCAUAGGCCAUAAGACAACCUCUGUAUAGUGUUUAAUGUAUCUAUGAUCUGUAUAUACUGUUAUCUAUUAAAAUACUUUCUGUUGCACUGGUUUGAUGCCAAACUGCAUUUCGCUGCUCGCUACUUGUACAUGUGUAAUGACAAUAAAGUUGAAUCUAA
ensembl:lncRNA